CAUUUUGAACUGCAUGGUUCGAAAUUGAAAGGCGGCUUGCGGCUGUCACUUAUGGAUGGACCCGCGUCGCAUUAGCUAGUUUAGGUGAGGUAACGGCUCACCAAGGCAACGAUGCGUAGCCGACCUGAGAGGGUGAUCGGCCUUUAACACUGGGACUGAGACACGGCCCAGACUCCUACGGGAGUGCAGCAGUAGGGAAUCUUCCGCAAUGGACGAAAGUCUGACGGAGCAACGCCGCGUGAGUGAUGAAGGCUUUCGGGUCGUAAAACUCUGUUGUUAGGGAAGAACAAGUGCUAGUUGAAUAAGCUGGCACCUUGACGGUACCCUAACCAGAAAGCCACGGCUAACUACGUGCCAGCAGCCGCGGUAAUACGUAGGUGGCAAGCGUUAUCCGGAAUUAUUGGGCGUAAAGCGCGCGACAGGUGGUUUCUUAAGUCUGAUGUGAAAGCCCACGGCUCAACCGUGGAGGGUCAUUGGAAACUGAGAGACUUGAGUGCAGAAGAGGAAAGUGGAAUUCCAUGUGUAGCGUGUGAAAUGCGUAGAGAUAUGGAGGAACACCAGUGGCGAAGGCGACUUUCUGGUCUGUAACUGACACU
rnacentral:rRNA from 1 species